GAUGAACGCUGGCGGCGUGCCUAAUACAUGCAAGUCGAGCGAACAGAUAAGGAGCUUGCUCCUUUGACGUUAGCGGCGGACGGGUGAGUAACACGUGGGUAACCUACCUAUAAGACUGGGAUAACUUCGGGAAACCGGAGCUAAUACCGGAUAAUAUUUCGAACCGCAUAGUUCGAUAGUGAAAGAGGGUUUUGCUAUCACUUAUAGAUGGACCCGCGCCGUAUUAGCUAGUUGGUAAGGUAACGGCUUACCAAGGCGACGAUACGUAGCCGACCUGAGAGGGUGAUCGGCCACACUGGAACUGAGACACGGUCCAGACUCCUACGGGAGGCAGCAGUAGGGAAUCUUCCGCAAUGGGCGAAAGCCUGACGGAGCAACGCCGCGUGAGUGAUGAAGGUCUUCGGAUCGUAAAGCUCUGUUAUUAGGGAAGAACAUCCGUGUAAGUAACUGUGCACGUCUUGACGGUACCUAAUCAGAAAGCCCCGGCUAACUACGUG
rnacentral:rRNA from 1 species